AUGAACGCUGGCGGCGUGCUUAACACAUGCAAGUCGAACGAACCUUCGGGUUAGUGGCGGACGGGUGAGUAACGCGUGAGAAUCUGCCCUCAGGAGGGGGAUAACGGCUGGAAACGGCCGCUAAUACCCCAUAUGCCGCGAGGUGAAAUGAAUUUCGCCUGAGGAUGAGCUCGCGUCUGAUUAGCUAGUUGGUGUAGGUAAUGGCUCACCAAGGCAUCGAUCAGUAGCUGGUCUGAGAGGAUGAUCAGCCACACUGGGACUGAGACACGGCCCAGACUCCUACGGGAGGCAGCAGUGGGGAAUUUUCCGCAAUGGGCGCAAGCCUGACGGAGCAACGCCGCGUGAGGGAUGAAGGCCUCUGGGCUGUAAACCUCUUUUAUCAAGGAAGAAGAUCUGACGGUACUUGAUGAAUAAGCCACGGCUAAUUCCGUGCCAGCAGCCGCGGUAAUACGGGAGUGGCAAGCGUUAUCCGGAAUUAUUGGGCGUAAAGCGUCCGCAGGCGGCCCUUCAAGUCUGCUGUUAAAACGUGGAGCUUAACUCCAUCAUGGCAGUGGAAACUGUUGGGCUUGAGUGUGGUAGGGGCAGAGGGAAUUCCCGGUGUAGCGGUGAAAUGCGUAGAUAUCGGGAAGAACACCAGUGGCGAAGGCGCUCUGCUGGGCCAUCACUGACGCUCAUGGACGAAAGCCAGGGGAGCGAAAGGGAUUAGAUACCCCUGUAGUCCUGGCCGUAAACGAUGAACACUAGGUGUCGGGGGAAUCGACCCCUUCGGUGUCGUAGCCAACGCGUUAAGUGUUCCGCCUGGGGAGUACGCACGCAAGUGUGAAACUCAAAGGAAUUGACGGGGGCCCGCACAAGCGGUGGAGUAUGUGGUUUAAUUCGAUGCAACGCGAAGAACCUUACCAGGGUUUGACAUCCUGCGAAUCUCUUGGAAACGAGAGAGUGCCUUCGGGAGCGCAGUGACAGGUGGUGCAUGGCUGUCGUCAGCUCGUGUUGUGAGAUGUUGGGUUAAGUCCCGCAACGAGCGCAACCCACGUCUUUAGUUGCCAGCAUUUAGUUGGGCACUCUAGAGAGACCGCCGGUGAUAAACCGGAGGAAGGUGUGGAUGACGUCAAGUCAUCAUGCCCCUUACAUCCUGGGCUACACACGUACUACAAUGCUACGGACAAAGGGCGGCAAGUUCGCGAGGACAAGCAAAUCCCAUAAACCGUGGCUCAGUUCAGAUCGCAGGCUGCAACUCGCCUACGUGAAGUAGGAAUCGCUAGUAAUCGCAGGUCAGCAUACUGCGGUGAAUACGUUCCCGGGCC
rnacentral:rRNA from 1 species